AUGCUUGUGUGCGACUUUGUGGUAAUUGCCUAAUAUUUGUAUACAUGUUAAUUGCUCAAUACUUGAAUUUAUGUUAAAUGCUAUUUGCCUAUUUGUUACUGUUGGUGACCCUUACUUUUGCAUGUAUACAUCGCGGGCUCCUCCCACCCCUAGAUGACAUUCAUGAGCGUGGUGCCGUCGGCCACGAGGAUGAGAUUGAUUUGGAGCGCUUUUAGGAUUGUGGUGUUUGUGAUGAGACGUUCUCCACCACGUCCAUAUGAUCAGACCUAGAGUCUUAGUUCAUUUUGCUUACGUAUCUAGUUUAUUUUGAGAUGUAGUACUUUGACAGACUAUUAUACUUAUGGUGCCUUAGUGGCCUUGCGAUACAUUAGGUUCAUGUAACCGUCUUUGUGGUUCGUGAACUAAUUGUAUCCCUUUUGAUAUGUAUAUUAUUCACGUGAACACUUGCUUCUCGUAAGCCCUAUAUAUAUAUAUAUAUGAU
rnacentral:lncRNA from 1 species